GCUGACGACCGGCGCACGGGUGCGGAACGCGUAUGGAACCUGCCCCUGUCAGGGGAAUAGCCCAGAGAAAUUUAGAUUAAUGCCCCAUGGUAACACGAUAUCGCAUGAUAUUGUGUUUAAAGAUUUAUCGGACAGGGAUGGCCAUGCGUACCAUUAGCUUGUUGGUGAGGUAACGGCUUACCAAGGCAACGAUGGUUAGGGGCCCUGAGAGGGGGAUCCCCCACACUGGUACUGAGACACGGACCAGACUCCUACGGGAGGCAGCAGUGAGGAAUAUUGGACAAUGGCCGGAAGGUUGAUCCAGCCAUGCCGCGUGCAGGAUGACUGCCCUAUGGGUUGUAAACUGCUUUUAUACGGGAAGAAACCUCCCCUCGUGAGGGGAGCUGACGGUACCGUAAGAAUAAGGACCGGCUAACUCCGUGCCAGCAGCCGCGGUAAUACGGAGGGUCCGAGCGUUAUCCGGAAUCAUUGGGUUUAAAGGGUCCGUAGGCGGGCCUGUAAGUCAGGGGUGAAAGGCCACGGCUCAACCGUGGGACUGCCCUUGAUACUGCAGGUCUUGAGUUAUAGUGGGGUUGCCGGAACAUGUGGUGUAGCGGUGAAAUGCAUAGAUAUCACAUAGAACACCGAUCGCGAAGGCAGGUGACCAACUAUAUACUGACGCUGAUGGACGAAAGCGUGGGUAGCGAACGGGAUUAGAUACCCCGGUAGUCCACGCCGCAAACGAUGGAUACUAGCUGUCGGGCCUUCGGGCUCGGCGGCCAAGCGAAAGUGAUAAGUAUCCCACCUGGGGAGUACGUUCGCAAGAAUGAAACUCAAAGGAAUUGACGGGGGCCCGCACAAGCGGUGGAGCAUGUGGUUUAAUUCGAUGAUACGCGAGGAACCUUACCAGGGCUUAAAUGCGGGCUGCA
rnacentral:rRNA from 1 species